UGUUUUUCUAUCAGGAUCAGACCAGAGUCUCCUGAAUCUGGAUAUGCAUCCAGCUGUGUGUCCUUUGAGAGUGACUGGUCAAAGGAGGAUGGGAUUAAUUUUAAACGUGUUUCUGACAAAAAGACCAGACCAGAUUCUCCUGAACCUGGAUAUGCAUCCAGCUGUGUGUCCUUUGAGAGCGACUGGUCAAAGGAGGAUGGGAUUAAUUUUAAACGUGUUUCUGACAAACAGAACAGACCAGAGUCUCCUGAACCUGGAUAUG